rnacentral:rRNA from 1 species
CAGCCGCCGCGGUAAUACGUAGGGGGCAAGCGUUGUCCGGAAUUAUUGGGCGUAAAGGGUGCGUAGGCGGCCUUUUAAGUCAGAUGUGAAAGCCCGCGGCUUAACUGCGGGAUUGCAUUUGAAACUGGGAGGCUUGAGUAUCGGAGAGGGUAGUGGAAUUCCCAGUGUAGCGGUGAAAUGCGUAGAUAUUGGGAGGAACACCAGUGGCGAAGGCGACUGCCUGGACGAAAACUGACGCUGAGGCACGAAAGCUAGGGGAGCAAACAGGAUUAGAUACCCUGGUAGUCCUAGCCGUAAACGAUGGGUACUAGGUGUAGGAGGUUUCGAUACCUUCUGUGCCGCAGUUAACGCAUUAAGUACCCCGCCUGGGGAGUACGUGCGCAAGCAUGAAACUCAAAGGAAUUGACGGGGGCCCGCACAAGCGGUGGAGCAUGUGGUUUAAUUCGAAGCAACGCGAAGAACCUUACCAGGUCUUGACAUCCCUUGACAGCCACAGAGAUGUGGUCUCUCUUCGGAGCAAGGAGACAGGUGGUGCAUGGCC